GACAGAGGGGGCAAGCGUUGCUCGGAAUUACUGAGCGUAAAGGGCGCGUAGGCGGGAUGGCAAGUCGGUCGUGAAAUCCCUCGGCUCAACCGAGGAACGUCGAUCGAUACUGCUGUUCUUGAGGAUUGCAGAGGAGACUGGAAUUCCCGGUGUAGCGAUGAAAUGUGUAGAGAUCGGGAGGAACACCGGUGGCGAAGGCGGGUCUCUAGGCAAUUCCUGACGCUGAGGCGCGAAAGCGUGGGGAGCAAACGGG
rnacentral:rRNA from 1 species